UCAACUUGAAUUUUUUUUUCGAAUUUCGAGUUCGAAUCGAGUUGAGUUUUCGAAUUCGAAUAACUCGAAUAAUUCGAAUAAUUCGAAUAUCCAACUAUAAUAUUUUACAGUUUUACCCUAAACUCCCAAACUUUUUUACUUUUCCCUCAAAACUUUUACUCCUUCUCACUUUUCCCCCAAAACUUUUACUCCCCUCCCCUCCCAACCCCCCAAUCUACCCAAAAUCCAUUUUCCACCAAAAUUUUACUCUUCCAUUCAUUUUUUUUUUCAAAAUUUUACUCUCAAAAACCCUCAAAACCUUUUAUUUUCCCCCAAAAUUUUUACUCCCUCCCACUUUUCCCCUAAAACUUUUAUUCUCUUCCCAUCCCACCUCCCAUCUACCCCAAACCCUCCCCCCUCCAAUUUUUUUUUAAUAUUUUCCCUCCAAAAUUUUACUCCCCCUAUUUACUUUCCCUCAAACUUUUAUUCCCCAAAACUUUUUAUUUUCCC
rnacentral:lncRNA from 1 species